rnacentral:rRNA from 1 species
UACGUAGGCAGCAAGCGUUGUUCGGAGUUACUGGGCGUAAAGGGUGUGUAGGCGGUUGCUUAAGUUUGGUGUGAAAUCUCCCCGGCUCAACUGGGAGGGUGCGCCGAAUACUGAGUGACUCGAGUGCGGGAGAGGAAAGUGGAAUUCCAGGUGUAGCGGUGAAAUGCGUAGAUAUCUGGAGGAACACCGGUGGUGUAGACGGCUUCUGGACCGUAACUGACGCUGAGACACGAAAGCGUGGGUAGCAAACAGG